UGAACUUGAAUUUGAGACCCUAAAACUGCAGAGCAUCAUAUCAACUGUGGAUGGGUUACGCAGACUUCUAAAUGAGAGAGAAGUAAACUUCUUUCUGAGGGCCCCAGUCCACAAUUCCCUCUCCUGGAUGCGUUUCAAAGGCAGAAGCCAGAAAAUCACAUCUGGGCAGCAAUGCUAAGGAAAAGUCCCUUGCAUAGUCCUGAUAAUCUACCAAGCUGAGUCCCCAUCUUCAGUGAUACGUGAGAUACUUCCACGGAAAACACGUCCUUUCAGGAGGAAGAUCACUGACCUCUUUGGAAUCCAGCUGGGGCUGGUCUCUGCACACUGCCUGUGAACACUCAGGACCCAUGCAGUCUGACAUGAGGUUACUGGGUCUGUCACCUCCUGGAGACUGGGUGCUCCUCCAGGACAAGGACCAAGCCUCUCUUAUCUUUGCAUCUUCAGUCGUACCAGGGGCCAUCGAGUCGAUUCCAACUCAUGGUGACCCCAUGUGUGUGUCAGAGUAGAAAUGAGAUCCAUAGGGUUUUCAAUGGCUGAUUUUUCAGUAAGUUGCCAGGACUUUCUCCCGAGGUGCCACUGGGUGGAUUCGAACUGUCAGCCUUUUGGUUAGCAGCUGAGUGCAUUAACCCUUUACAUCACCCAGGGACUACAUCCCCAGAGUCUGGGAAAGUAUGGGAUGGGGGAGGGGUCUGUUUGUUUUUAACCUUAGAAGGCUGUUUACAUGCUAAGUAUUUUGCCCAAAUUCACAGAGAAAAGGUCAGGUCUGGACAGAGCUGGGAAAAAGGCUUGAUGUUCUAUUACAAGCACCACAGUGCCGGCUAACAUUUUCAUUUUAAAUAAACAGUUUUUGCUAGAAUAUUCUUUUGUGUAAUGUCUAAAGGGUGAGAGAGAUAACAGUAUACAUAUUUAGAAAUAAGAGACAUGCUUCAGGAAUUUUUCUUGACGAAAUGUAAUGUUAUAAGCUUUUGCUUCUCUGAAAUUGCUGUGGUGUCUUCUGUCCUAGAGACCCUACUCCCACCCAUCACCUUGGAGCCAUACACACACACACAAGCCAUACAAAUUGCUCCAGAGAAUCUACCCAGAAGUAAUCUUUCCUUCUUCUUUAUCCUUACAACUACCCCAGGGAGCAGCUAAGUCCUCUCCUUCCUACCUUUCUCUCUCCUCAGAAUCAGGGUUCAGAAUAAGUAAUUUCCAUUUCCAUUUUCCCACUUUCGCCCAACACAUCCUGAAGAUCCCUGGAGCAAUGACAAGCUUACACUGCCCCCUGCUGCCCCAUCCACUCCCUGAACAAAGAGCAUAGAUUCACUCUUCCCUUUCUGCUUCCACUGUGGCCCUGUCUUUGCUCCCAUUACCUGUCACAAAAGCAAAGCAACAGAAUGCCCCCACAAAAGUCAAAUGUCUUUAUUUUAUAUAUAUAAAAAAAAUUUGUACAGUUUUAGUUCCUAUGUUUAAGAAAAAAAAUCCCUAAAUUUGCCAUAAUGUUUAGAUCCACUGCAAACUGUAAAAACAAGCUUUUUAUAUAUUAAAAAAAAAAGAAUUUACAUUUUACAAUUUUCUACAUGCAUGCACAAGGUCUCAGCUCUGU